rnacentral:rRNA from 1 species
GGCUAACUUCGUGCCAGCAGCCGCGGUAAUACGUAGGGGGCAAGCGUUGUCCGAAUCACUGGGCGUAAAGCGCGCGCAGGCGGCGAUUUAAGUGGGGGGUGAAAGCCCGGAGCUCAACUCGGGGAUUGCCUUGGAUACGGGAUCGCUUGAGGAUCGGAGAGGCAAGGGGAAUUCCACGUGUAGCGGUGAAAUGCGUAGAGAUGUGGAGGAACACCGUGGCGAAGGCGCCUUGCUGGCCGAUUUCUGACGCUGAGGCGCGAAAGCGUGGGGAGCAAACAGGAUUAGAUACCCUGGUAGUCCACGCCGUAAACGAUGAGUGCUAGGUGUUGGGGGGUACCACCCUCAGUGCCGAA